CUCCGUAGGGAUCUGCUUCUCUGCUGGUGGAAAGAGAAGCUUCCCUAGGCAUCUCUCUCACACUCGACGCUACCGGGGCGGUUCUGGGACGGCUCCUCAGGCCGCUGCCCGCCCUCUUUUCUCCGAACGUCAGUCAUUUCCUCGAAAUCAAUCCAGGCACGCAGCUGCCCAUUAAAGUUAAUUAAGCACGCGCCCGAGACACCGACAAGAGCGUGCGCCCCGGGCAGAGCCCAGAAUGCCUCCCGGGAAGCCCCUUCCGGAAGCUCCGGCCCAGGGGGGUCACAGUCCGAUUCCGAGGGACCCAGCUGCCCACCGCUGACCUCUCCCGCCCGCCCCCACCCCGAAAUCUCCGCAAUCCUGGGAGACAGCUGCAGCCCCAGCGAGCGAGCCGAGCCCCGCGCAGCCCAGAGCAGGUGCACCUGCAGAGCCUGGCGUUGGCUUUGCGUCGAUUAAACACCUCCUCUUCGCACAAACCCCGGCGCCCCUCGUCCACUGUCUGGACCCAAGGACCCCCUCUCGGGUCGAGGAGGGGCGGACGGCAGCUCGGAACCCACAAGCCUGAGAGUGUCCGCUCGCCCGCAGAAGGCAGCCGCCACCUGCUCUCCAAGGUCCCGCUCCAGCCCCUCCGUCGCGGGUCCCUUACCUUGUGGCCUUUCCCCGGGGGACACCUGACGUUAUUGGAGGCUCCUGCUGUCUGAUUCAUGUCCGGAGGAAGUUGGGGACCGAUUCUCUACCUUCGAAACUUCCUUGGCGCGUGGAGGGUGACAAAGGUGCGCGUCUCCCGGAGGCGAGGUGGGUCCUCCCGCUCCAGCCAAGCCCCGGCGACGUCUCCCCGCGACAGGUUUCCGCGGGGCCCCUGGUCCAGGGAUGCUUAGCCCUGCAGCCCGAGCCGGAGAAAGAGAAGCAGCUGCUGGGACCCCGGAGGGAGCCGGGCCGGCGCCGGCGGCUCCGAGGGCGCUCUGCCCAGGGCUGCCUUCCCGGGAAACAGUCCAGGACUCUCAAGACCAGAAGCGCGAGCAAAUCCGAAAAGAGCUCCGAGGAGGGGCGAGGAGGCAGAAGGCCCAAAUACAGUAAAUCAAGAAAAUGCUGAGAGUAUCUUGUGUCUGCUCUGAGCCUUUCCGUGUGCAUUAUGAGGGGAAGCCUGAAACUCACUGAUAACAGAAACAAGAAUAUUAAUCCAGAAAAGACUAAUACUUUAAUUCAAAAAGACAACAUGCAGCACUAUUUACAAGAGUCAAGACAUGGAAGCAACCUAAAUGUCCAUUGGCGGAGGAAUGGAUAAAGAUGUGGGGCAUAUUCAUAUAUGAUGGAAUAUUACUUAGCUAUAAAAAAGAAAGAAUGCCAUGUGCAGCAGCAUGGAUGCAGCUAGAGAUUAUCGUACUAAGUAAAGUAAGUCAGACAGAGAAAGACACAUACCAUAUGAUAUCACUUAUAUGUGGAAUCUAAAAUAUGACACAAAUGAACUUAUUUACAAAACAAAAACAGACUCACAGACAGAACAGACUUGUGGGUACCAAAGGGGAAAGGGGUAAGGAGGGAUAAGUUAGGAGUUUGGGAUUAGUAGAUAUACACAUUACUAUAUAUAAAACAGACAACAGGACUUUCAUAUACACACACACACUGUACAUACAUGAAACUGAAUCACUUUGCUGUACACCUGAAACUAACACAACAAUGUAUGUCAACUAUAUCUCGGUUUUAAAAUAAAAGAAUAUUAGGAUGCUACA
rnacentral:lncRNA from 1 species